rfam:Fukomys damarensis contig112402, whole genome shotgun sequence.
CUGGCACCAUGACGGCCUGCCUGCAAACCAGUGUGCUGGUGAGGCAGACCUGAGGAUGCGUG